CCAGACUCCUACGGGAGGCCGCCGUGAGGACUCUUUUUCAAUGGCCUCUCGGCUGAACCCGCCCCGUCGCGUGCGUUCCGACGGCCCUCCUGGUUGUAAACCUCUUUUGUCGGGGCGCCCCGCGAGUCCCGUUUGACUCAUUGCGCGUCCCCGAAGCCCCCGCAUCGGCUCCCUCCGUGCCAGCCGCCGCGGUAAUACGGCGGCUGCGAGCGUUCUCCGGAUUUAUUGGGGGGAAAGGGUGCGUAGGCGGAAUAGCAAGGCAGCGGUAAAAAGGCGGGGCUCAACCCCGUCGUGCCGGGGAAACUGAUGUGCGUGAGGGGGCGAGAAGUAUGCGGAAGGCGUGGUGGAGAGGUGAAAUGCAGAGAGAUCACGCAGAAAGCCGAUUGCGAAGGCAGCAUACCGGCGCACAACUGACGCGGAAGCACGAAAGCGGGGGUAUCGAACAGGAGGAGAUACCCGGGUAGU
rnacentral:rRNA from 1 species